GUGAGGAACAUUAUCAUAAAAGCACUUGAUUUGAAUAUAUUCAUGAAGGACGUCUACGGCCAUACCACCCUGAAUGCACCUGAUCUCGUCUUAUAUCCAUGAAGGUUCGGACUUAUUUUGCUAAGGUACCAUUCCACAAGCCUGAUAAAAAGAAUCAGGUGCUGGGCACACAGUAGGCACUCAACAAUUAAGUGCUUAAUGAAUGAAUUCAUGGUCUGAAAUGGACAGCCUGGAACAUGACAUAAUGCAAACAUCCCACAUCUCUGGCUUUAGAAUGUGUUAUUUUGUAGGGGUGCCUGAUCUGUGAGAUCGAAUCUAUGCUGAGAAAGGAUGCUCCAAGGGCAUUAGGAAGCAGUGAAGCUGCCAUCCUUCUGUCUGGUUCCUGGAUCAGCUCUUCCCAGCCACUCACUAGGGGCUUGGAAUAAAUCCAUCUUUCCCCUGACUGCCUGGGAGUGGAGUACUCCAGUCUAAAGGAGUGGCUUGCUGGAGCUACUCUGGCGGGUCUUCAUGAAUGAAGAGUAAACACAGCAAGUCAAGAAGUCUAUUGAGCUUUAAGAGAAUGUUUUAAGUGCCUGUCUAUACCAAAUGCCAGAAACGUCAAGUCUGUCUUUGUGAAGGGCAAGUUUAGCUCAACCAGUAUAGCAGGAAUAGUCACUGCUGCACAUUCGGGCGCCAGACAGGCCACCCACAUUCAAAUCAGGGCUUAAUAAAUAGACCAUUUGCAAAGGUGGGAAUGGGAUGAGGACAUGGCACACCCAAAGGAUGGUGCAGAACCCCAGGGGUAGGAAUGGCAGGGAGGGCCGGGCGUGGUGGCUCAUCCCUGUAAUCCCAACAUUUUGGGAGGCUGAGGUGAGAGGAUUGCUUGAACUCAGGAGUUCAAGAUCAGCCUGGGCAACAAAACUAGACCUCGUCUCUACUGAAAACAAAAUUAAAAGUAGCUGGGCAUGAUGGUGUGCGCCUGUAGUCCCAGCUACUUGGGUGGCUGAGACAGGAGGAUCGCUUGAGUUGGAAGAUUGAGGCUGCAUGGUGCACACCUGUAGUCCCAGCUACUCAGGAGGCUAAGGCAGGAGGAUCGCUUGAGCCCAGGAGGUCAAGGCUGCAGUGACCUAUGAUCACAUCACUGCACUCCAGCCUGGGCAACAGAGCAAGACCCUGUCUC
rnacentral:lncRNA from 1 species